CUGGCGUUGUCAAUUUUCACACCAGUAUUCUCCACUUGUGCCAUGGACAAUACGAGUGCUCUUUGUUCUGGAAGGAUCGUGUGACCUCCUUC